ensembl:snoRNA
AAAGCAGGACGCAAUUACAGUGCUAAAUUUUGUGGGAGUACUGUCAUUAUCCUGCUGAGAGCAUCCUUCUGCUUUGGAGUCACGAGUACUGUCAUCUCUCAUAUGACAUGUGAAUGCUCUGUUGUGGAGACACAUUU